AAGGAGAGGAAGAAAGGAGUAGGAGAGGGAGAAAAGGGGGAGAGGAAGGGAAAAGGGGAAAAGGGGGGAAAGAGGGAGGGAAGAAGAAGGAGAAAGGAGAAAAGAGGAGGGAGAGGAGGGGGGAAAUAAUAAGUCUUAGAUCGAGUUAAAUGCUUUAUCUUUUAAGGACAAGUUAUGAUGAGGACCGAAA
rnacentral:rRNA from 1 species